rnacentral:tRNA from 1 species
GCCGUGUUAGCUUUAAUGGUAGAGCAGCUGACUUGUAAUCAGCAGGUUGUAGGUUCGAAUCCUACACACGGCUC